rnacentral:rRNA from 1 species
UACGUAGGGGGCAAGCGUUGUCCGGAUUUAUUGGGCGUAAAGAGCGUGUAGGCGGCCAUACAGGUCCGUUGUGAAAACUCGAGGCUUAACCUCGAGACGUCGAUGGAAACCGUAUGGCUAGAGUCCGGAAGAGGAGAGUGGAAUUCCCGGUGUAGCGGUGAAAUGCGCAGAUAUCGGGAGGAACACCAAUGGCGAAGGCAGCUCGCUGGGACGUUACUGACGCUGAGACGCGAAAGCGUGGGGAGCAAACAGG